UACGUAGGGUGCAAGCGUUGUCCGGAAUUAUUGGGCGUAAAGAGCUCGUAGGCGGUCUGUCGCGUCUGCUGUGAAAACUCGGGGCUUAACCCCGGGCCUGCAGUGGGUACGGGCAGACUAGAGUGCGGUAGGGGAGACUGGAAUUCCUGGUGUAGCGGUGAAAUGCGUAGAUAUCGUAAGGAAGACCAGUGGCGAAGGCGGGUCUCUGGACAGUUCCUGACGCUGAGGCACGAAGGCCAGGGGAGCAAAACGGG
rnacentral:rRNA from 1 species